UACGGAGGGGGCUAGCGUUGUUCGGAAUUACUGGGCGUAAAGCGCGCGUAGGCGGACCUGCAAGUCGGGGGUGAAAGCCCGAGGCUCAACCUCGGAACUGCCUUCGAUACUGGGUAUCUUGAGUUCGGAAGAGGUGAGUGGAAUUGCGAGUGUAGAGGUGAAAUUCGUAGAUAUUCGCAGGAACACCAGUGGCGAAGGCGGCUCACUGGUCCGAUACUGACGCUGAGGUGCGAAAGCGUGGGGAGCAAACAGG
rnacentral:rRNA from 1 species